CUGCUGUAUAACAGCCGGUGUAAAGUGCAACACCCAUUAUCGAAACUGAGCAUUUGAUCAGCUAUAGGCAGCAAAACGACCAUCUCGCCUCCGGCUAACCAUUUCUAAAUUCCUUCCUGAUAUCCUGUUUCCCUAUGUUUUGGUUUGUAUGAAUGACGUUUGCAUUUCGUUUUGUUGAGUUGUUUCACUUUCAAAUUAUCUCUGUGGGAAGUUGGCACUAGGUUAAGGCUCAAAUAUUAAAUUUAAAUUAAACUUGUAUACGAGAUUCUCAUUUCGAUAUACUUAAAUAUUUCAAUAUUAGCCAAAAGCUGAAUGACUAAUGUUUCUCACAUAAAGCGCUGUGUACCUGAACAGUGCACGCGAGCAUUAGAAUGUUAAAAACUAAACUUUAGUCUAUUUCUUACUCUCCUAAUUAAUUAAAUCUUCAACUUUUCUUUCUAUCCCUUCCGGCCAACUUCCCACCCCUCCCACUGAUUUCAGCUUAUUUUCCUCAAUUGAAUCUCUUUCCAAUGGUGUAUAUCACACUGAGCAAUAAAUACUCAGUAUCCUGUAAUCGAGAACGGCCUGCAGCUCCAUGUUUUUUACGUAACAAUUGCAUCACCAAAUGAACACCAGCAAGUCACCUGGCCGCAACAACAACCUGAUUGGCCAUUGUUAGCAGCGCAGUCCGAAAGCCUGUUCCCUGCCAAUUUACUUCCAGAACUACAUUUUACAUCUCACUGAAUUUGGAGAGAUAGAUUUUGUUAUGCUAUUAGGGUGCUAAAAUUAAAUGUUGAAGUUCUA